AUUGAACGCUGGCGGCCGGCCUAACACAUGCAAGUCGAGCGAGCGGCGGACGGGUGAGUAAUGUAUGGGGACUGCCCGAUAGAGGGGGAUAACUACUGGAAACGGUGGCUUAUACCGCAUACUAUCGGAUAACCCAUAUGUGAGUAGCUAGUAGGUGGGGUAAAGGCGCACCUAGGCGACGAUCGCUCGCUGGUCUGAGAGGAUGAUCAGCAACACGGGGACAGAGAAACGGCCCAGACUCCUACGGAGGCAGCAGUGGGGAAUAUUGCACAAUGGGCGCAAGCCUGAGGCAGCCAUGCCGCGUGUAUGAAGAAGGCCUUAGGGUUGUAAAGGACUUUCAGCGGGGAGGCGUUACCCGCAGAAGAAGCACCGGCUAACUCCGUGCCAGCAGCAGCGGUAAUUC
rnacentral:rRNA from 1 species